UAUUGGGAGUGCAGCUAGACAGCUGCUUAUCAUGGUCGUCUCAAAUAACUAAUCUAUGUAAAAAAAAAAAAAUAUUAAAACAGCAUGCAUAAUCAGAAGGAUAGCUAAAUAUUUACCAGGAAAAAUUAUUCAGCAAAUAACACAAGCAUUAAUUGAGAGUCAGGUGAACUAUUGUUCGGUGGUCUGGUGAAAUGCAUCAUCUAGUAAAGUUAGGAUGCUGCAGAAUGCACAGCAUAAAGCAGCAAGGAUUGUUUUAAGGCGGAGAUAUGGUUCUUCUGUUGCAGUCAUGGGUUGUUUUAAGGCGGAGAUAUGGUUCUUCUGUUGCAGUCAUGGGUUGUUUUAAGGCGGAGAUAUGGUUCUUCUGUUGCAGUCAUGGGUUGUUUUAAGGCGGAGAUAUGGUUCUUCUGUUGCAGUCAUGGGUUGUUUUAAGGCGGAGAUAUGGUUCUUCUGUUGCAGUCAUGGGUUGUUUUAAGGCGGAGAUAUGGUUCUUCUGUUGCAGUCAUGGGUUGUUUUAAGGCGGAGAUAUGGUUCUUCUGUUGCAGUCAUGGGUUGUUUUAAGGUGGAGAUAUGGUUCUUCUGUUGCAGUCAUGCGCAGUGUUCUUGGUUGGUCAUCAAUCGACAAGGUCAUUGAAAAAAACAUGCUUAUUUUAUUUUAUAUU